GUGGUGCUUUUCAGGAGCUCCAGCAAUCUUGGCUGAAUGUGAUGGCUCCCAGUGCAGGGAGGGCUCGGCUCGGCGCUGCUGCGGAAUGGAAGACUGCUGCUCGCCUGCCCUUCUGUCUCUCGUCUAGGCUCAAAGUGCCAUGGUUUGAGAGUCUUACCUGGCUCUCUUCAGAUAAACAGUCUUCAGGACCCUAAAGGCGCAGAGGGAAGGAUUAAGAAGAACGGCUGUGCAAUGGUGAACAGAUUCAUCCCCAGGCACCCAAUCCAUUAUCCUGUCAACAACAGCAGGUCCCUGCCACAGUUAGCAGCAACACUGGCCGUAAUGAAAUCAUCAGUAAUCCCAAAACUCAUCUCAUCAUACCCAAGGUACAAAAUCUUCUCUCUGACUGUAUGAUACCAUGACAAAACAGUUAAACAACAGGCUGUGGACAUCAGUGGAAGACACAGGCUGUAGCCUAGUCUUUAACAGUGAAUUACCUGUAAAACAUUUGCCUGCAGGAAAUGGAAUCUGACUUACCUUUAGUGGUGAAGAAACUCAAAGAAAUGGAUAUCUAUGGAUUAUCAGUGAGAAAACUGAUUUCAUUUUUACACUGUCUAAUGGUGAAAUCAUUUCAUUUCAGCUCUAUUUUUCAGUUCUUGUAUUAUAUUUGAAAAAAAUCUGCCGUUGGGAAAUCUCAUGUUUAUAAUUGUAGGGAAAUGUGAAUUGCGAAAAGAUUUUUAUUAUUAUUAUUUUUUUUGGACAAACAUGAUAAUUUGAUUGAUUUAGAUGGUGAACUGAAAAUUAAUUCGUCUAACGCAUUCGAGUAGGCUUUGAGUCCCAUGUUAUUCAAUCGAUAUUAGGUAUCUGUCUUCUGCAAGUGAUUGAAUGAAAGAGCUUAAGCGCGGUUUACAAGCUUGCUAAGGAUGGACAGUGUCUUGUAAUAUUUAUAUAUUUAAAACCGGUUUAUCAUUACAUAUUUUAUGAUUUAUAUUGUUUGUUUCGGUUGCAAAAAUGUUGAGAAUUCACUUUUUAUUUUUAUUUUAACGUU